rnacentral:rRNA from 1 species
CUAUGCGCCUUGCCAGCCCGCUCAGUCAGAGUUUGAUCCUGGCUCAGGAUGAACGCUGGCGGCAUGCCUAAUACAUGCAAGUCGAACGGGGUGCUUGCACCCAGUGGCGAACGGGUGAGUAACACGUAUUUAAUCUACCUUUUAGUGGGGGAUAACAGUUGGAAACGACUGCUAAUACCGCAUAUGACACCAUUAUGGCAUCAGAAGGUGUUAAAAGGUCCGUUUGGAUCGCUAAAAGAUGAGGAUGCGGCGUAUUAGCUAGUAGGUAGGGUAAUGGCUUACCUAGCGAUGAUACGUAGCCGAACUGAGAGGAUGACCAGCCACACUGGAACUGAGACACGGUCCAG